rnacentral:rRNA from 1 species
AUUGAACGCUGGCGGAAUGCUUUACACAUACAAGUCGAUCGGCAGCACGGACUUCGGUCUGGUGGCGAGUGGCGAACGGGUGAGUAAUGUAUCGGAACGUGCCCAGUCGUGGGGGAUAACGUAGUGAAAAUUACGCUAAUACCGCAUACGAUCUAUGGAUGAAAGCGGGGGAUCGCAAGACCUCGCGCGAUUGGAGCGGCCGAUAUCAGAUUAGGUAGUUGGUGGGGUAAAGGCCCACCAAGCCAACGAUCUGUAGCUGGUCUGAGAGGACGACCAGCCACACUGGAACUGAGACACGGUCCAGACUCCUACGGGAGGCAGCAGUGGGGAAUUUUGGACAAUGGGCGGAAGCCUGAUCCAGCCAUUCCGCGUGCAGGAUGAAGGCCCUCGGGUUGUAAACUGCUUUUGUACAGAACGAAAAGGUUUCUACUAAUACUAGGAGCUCAUGACGGUACUGUAAGAAUAAGCACCGGCUAACUACGUGCCAGCCGCCGCGGUAA